rnacentral:rRNA from 4 species
AUAAUGGGUCAGCGACUUAUAUUCUGUAGCAAGGUUAACCGAAUAGGGGAGCCGAAGGGAAACCGAGUCUUAACUGGGCGUUAAGUUGCAGGGUAUAGACCCGAAACCCGGUGAUCUAGCCAUGGGCAGGUUGAAGGUUGGGUAACACUAACUGGAGGACCGAACCGACUAAUGUUGAAAAAUUAGCGGAUGACUUGUGGCUGGGGGUGAAAGGCCAAUCAAACCGGGAGAUAGCUGGUUCUCCCCGAAAGCUAUUUAGGUAGCGCCUCGUGAAUUCAUCUCCGGGGGUAGAGCACUGUUUCGGCAAGGGGGUCAUCCCGACUUACCAACCCGAUGCAAACUGCGAAUACCGGAGAAUGUUAUCACGGGAGACACACGGCGGGUGCUAACGUCCGUCGUGAAGAGGGAAACAACCCAGACCGCCAGCUAAGGUCCCAAAGUCAUGGUUAAGUGGGAAACGAUGUGGGAAGGCCCAGACAGCCAGGAUGUUGGCUUAGAAGCAGCCAUCAUUUAAAGAAAGCGUAAUAGCUCACUGGUCGAGUCGGCCUGCGCGGAAGAUGUAACGGGGCUAAACCAUGCACCGAAGCUGCGGCAGCGACGCUGAUGCGUUGUUGGGUA